CUCUCUCUAAUAUAUUUCCGAUCGUUCAACUUGACGGAGAUUCGUUUUUCAGAACAGUUUUCGGCAGCCGUUUUUACUAUUUUUGUUUCGCAGGUAGGCACAUUUUCGAUUAGUGACUAACUACAACAGCUUGUUCCGCCGUAGGACCACCACAUAUGUCUAUCAUCAUUUUCUUUCUCAUCUCAUAAACUCACUCGCCACAAUCUCCUUGUAUCGAUAAUACAUCUUGUUAUAUCUCUUCAUUUCUUCUUGAUAAAUAUGUAUCUUCCUAACUUUAAUGAUUUUUGCACUACGGCUAAGUUUGAUAACAAAUUUUAAGAGUGAGAUUGAAAUAAUAUUAUUGUGGGUCUUAUUUUAAUCACGUUAUAGUGCAAAAAUUAAACUUUGAACUAAUAGUCUAUUAAGAUUGUUAAUUUCAAAAAAAUGGCCACUAAACUAAAAUAUAUUAUCAAACAUGGCCAGCAUUUUGUUAAUUGCAAUUGCAAUUUUUCUAUUUUUUGGUAGUUAGUUCCAUUAAAAAAUAAAAUAACAAAAGGCCACCAACGAGCAAAUAAGAACGAAUAUGCCAUUGCCCAGUGCAUGGAGAAAUUUCUUUGGCCAGUCAAUAUUGCACUCAUCAGCACCACUACUUUGAAGCGCAACGCAACCUACCUCUGAAUCGUGCCAAGCCGUUGUGGCCUUCAUCAUUCCGGUGCUCAUCAACCUUCUCCAACUUAAGUAUCAUGGCGAGAAUUCAUUGCCAUUCGAAACUCACCCCAAAUCAUGCGUGCUUCUGUUGUUAGCUUGAUUCUGUACUGCUUGCCUACUAUGCAGAACUAAGAUCUUCUUUGGGUAAAAUCCGAAUUAUGAGUGGAUUCCUCCCCGUGGGAUGGUGUUGCUUGGUUCAUUUUCUGUGGUGUCUCUGGCGUCCAUUAUCUCUCCUAUUUGCUCGGGCCGUUGCUAUACUUGGUCUACAUAUUGCUUUUAGUAGGGGGGUUGCUCCAUCAUAAAAUGAUGCAAAGGAGAGCAGGGCACAUGCUUCCAAAGUGGCACACAAAAUAUAUACCUCCAGUGUAACUCGAUCGAUUAAGAGUGAUAAUGUUAUUCCAAAUUGUCAUUUCAAUUAAGCGUGACACGGCCAUAUAAUCCAUUUCCAUUAUAAAUUGCACAAAUAUAUAGGGAUUAAAAUUUUACUAAUAUUAAUUACUUAAAAAAUUGACAUAAAAUAUUAAAAUUGACAUUCUUAAUUAUUUUAAGAUAAUAAUUCUAUUUAAUUUAUAAUUUUAAAUUUGACCCGUGCAUAGCUGGUUUUUGCUAGUUUCCAUUAAUGAAGGUACUAAUUAGGAAAUAUUUAGGCUGUGUUUUGGAUGAAAAAUCUGGUGGAUCAUGAAAAGGAAAAGUUCCUUUGGUCCCUAUAAGUUUUAAUUUAACAAUAAGAACUCUGCAGUUUCCUUCCAUCCAAAUCUAUUAGAAAUUCUGACGGCGGCAGAAAUUGCAUGAGCCUUUUUGUCUUUUUUUUUUAAUUGUUUGCAUUUUUUUGUCAACUUUUUUUGGUUUGGAUGGAGGGACCUUAUUAAGAUCGAUUGGAAACUUCAGGGGUAUUCUUGUUCAAAUUGGAACUCACUGGCCAAAGUAAUACUUUAUUAUAUAAACUAAGGAGCCAAUGGUAAAAUUCACCCUUAAUAAUUCGGGGUUCGGAGUUGGACUAUGGAGUUCAGUUGUCGUUCCCUACAAAUACGGAGUGUGCGAAUGAGAGUAGAGAGAGAGAAAAAAAAAAAAAGAAAAGCUAGGGUUUAAACGGGAAGAGAGAGGCAGAGAGAAUCGUUUACAAAAGAAGAUGCGAGAGAUUGGAAGAUCGACGGUUGAUGAAAUCACUGCUGUUCAUUGUGUUAAUUGUUGAAUUGUUCUGGUAAUUGAUUUUGUGUUCGAUUAGUGCAUUAUCUAAUGAUUUUAUUAUUCUGGUAAUUGAUUAUAUGUUCUGGUAAUUGUUCAGAUUGUUCUGUUAGUUCAUUUAUAUAUCAAAAUAAAUAUUGGGAGAGCCAACGUAUAUAAAUUUUUAGAUGAAUAGUACUAUAAUAAUAGAGUUUUUUCAAAACUUGGCUGCGUCUGUCCCCCCUCGGUCAGUCCUUGUAUCCAUUUGUGCCUUCUCUGUAGCUUCUUUCGUUCUUCUUUGAUACCGAAAUUUUCUUUUAAGGGCCUUUUCGGUUGGUUCUUUCAAUUUUCUGUUGUUUCAUAUGUUGAGUUUUGGGGCUUUGCUAUUGGUUCUUUCUAUUUUCUUUCACUGUCGGUUCUUUCAUGUUCUUUUGUUUCAAAUCUUGAGUUUUAGGGUUUUUUUGGGAUAAUUCUUUCGAUAUUAUUUGAUUGGAAGAUCUAUCGGUUGAUUAAGUCAUUACUGUUUAUUGUGUUAAUUGCUGAAUUGUUAUGGUCAUGGAUUUUAUUAUGUUAUUGUUGAAUUGUUCUGCUAAUUGAUUUUAUGUUCUGGUUAUUGUUCAGAUUGUUUCUUUGGAUUUUCUUUCGUGCCAAAUUUUGAGGCCUUUUCGGAUGGUUCUUUCAAUUUUCUGUCAUUCCAUAUUUUGAGUCUUAGGGCUUUCUUGCUGGUUCUUUCUAUUUUCUUUCAUAUUAUUUCGUUUCAAAUUUUGAGUUUCAGUGUUUUUUUUUUCAGAUAAUUCUUUUAAAUUUUCUUUGAUUGGAAGAUCAAUUGGUUGAUGAGUUCACUACUGUUCAUUGUGUUAAUUGUUGAAUUGUUCUGGUAAUUCAUUUUGUGUUCGAUUCGUUUCUUAUGUCAACUUGUGUUGCAAUUAUGUAAUUGAUUUUUAAUUCUGGUAAUUGUUCAGAUUGUUUCUUUGGAUUUUCUUUCGUGCCAAAUUUUGAGGCCUUUUCGGAUGGUUCUUUCAAUUUUCUGUCAUUCCAUAUUUUGAGUUUCCAAUUUUCUGUCGUUCCAUAUUUUGAGUUUUAGGGCUUUUCUGUUGGUUCUUUCAUAUUCUUUCAUUCCACAUUUUGAGUUUUAGAGUUUUUUCUGAUAAUUCCUUCGAUUUUCUUUCAUUUUGGUUGCUCUUUCCAUUUUCUUUCGUUUCAGAUCGAGUUAUAGGGCUUUUUCUGUCGUUUCUUUUGAUUUUCCUUUCUUUUAGUUGCCCAUAGUUUCAAGCCCUUCAUUUGUUUUCAGAUCUUGAAUAUUAUAGUUGCGGAGUGUAUUCCUUGGUCUGUUUGUUUUUAUAAUGCUUUUCUAAUUCUAAUUAUAUGUUUUACACAUUCACAAUUUGACUGGAUUGGGUUUCUUUUUUCUUUUUCUUGGAUUUCCUGGAUUGGUUUAUUAAAUCUUAUUGAUUAAUGAUUUUCCAAUUUUCUGGGUGUCGUAAUCUUUUACUUUAUUUUAAAUUUCAGGGUUAUUCUCCAUAUGGUUUUGUUUUCAUGUUCUAUGGUAUGAUUUAUGCAUUUUGGUUUCUGUCUCCCUUUCAAUGCUUUUAUGGGUAUUAGCCUAAAAUCACUGUAUCUCUAAUCUCCAUUUUUUGGUCUCCCUCUUUUGGACUCUAGCAUAAGAUUUUUAUCUAUUUCUGUUAUAAUAACUACAAAAUGGGAUUUUAUAGUGUGUUUCUAUUUGUUUCAAGAUUUGAGUUUGUCUGUUUUUCUUCUCACUAUUUUUUAGUUGCCAAUUGUUUCAUGUCUUUCAUUUGUUUUCUGAUCUUGAUUUUUAUACAUUCUUUGGUUUGUUUUUUUUCCUUUCCUUUCUAAAUCUAAUUUGAUUUAAAACUGAGUCUUCCACAUUUAAAAUUUACCUGGAUUGGGUUUAUUCUCUUUUUCUUGUAUUUAAUGGCUAAAAAGAGAGAUUCAUUGUUCUUUAGUGAAAAUUUCCAAUUCUUUGGACUUUUGGUAUUUGAAUAAUCUACGUCUCUUUAGUUGUGUUUCGUUUAUUGAUUAUUAAUAUUAAUUUUCUAAUUUUUGGGGGUAUAUUGAUCUUUUGUUUUAAUUUAAAUUUAAGGAUUAUUCACCUGAUUCUAUUCUUCUCUCUUCAUAUAGUUUUGCAUUCUUGUUUUAAAGUUUUGCAUCUGAUUUAUUUUUUUGAUUUUAUUCUUCAAUAUAUUCUGCAUCCUUAUUCUUUCAUAGCCCUUCUUGUACCUUUUUAUUUUGAUUCUUUUGAAUUUACAAUUUUAUUUCUUGGUUUAACUUCAUAUUUCUGUUUGUUCAUUGGUUCUUUCAAUUUUCUUUCUUGUUUAGUUAGCACUUGUUUGAUACCUUUCAUUGUUGUUUGUUGUAAUCUUGAAUUUCAAAGUUAUAACUGUAAACAUGCUUUGCUAUGUUUGUUUUGCAAUGCUUUUCUGGAUUUUGAGUUUGAGUUAGCGGUUUCAAAUGCUUUGUUGUUUUUUGUUUUUCUCAUAUGCUUUCUAAAUCUAAAAUAUGUUUCGAGACUGACGUAAUUGUUUUUUCAAAGUUUACUGAUUUGUUCUUUUUAUUUUUUCUUGGAUUUUUCUGGCUUACAAUAAGCGAUUCAUUUUUCUCUAGUGAACUAUGUCUCUCUAUCACUCCCGUGGCUAAUAGUGUGUUGAUAUUGAUUCUUGAUUUUCCAGCUUUUUGUUUCUUUCUACUUUCUGUGGAUUUCGAUGCUAUCAACCAGAGGUUCAGUGUAUCUGUAUGCUUUAAAGGUAGCCCUUCAGGUGUUUUUUAUUGCUUGUUUUGAAUCUAUAAUCUUAUUUCGUGCUUUAAAUUUCAUAUUUCCCUUUGUUCAUUCAAUUUUCUUUCCCUUCUUUUAGUUAUGAGUUGUUUGAUACCCUUCAUUUGUUUCCUAUUCUUGAAUUUUGUAACAAUUUGCAUACUAUGGUCUAAUUUUAAUUUUUUUUUAUUUAACAUGUCCCCUGUUGGUUUGGUUGGUUCUUUUCAACUUUCUCUCCUUUCCUUCCUUUUAGUUAUUUGUAAUUUCUCCCCUUCAAUUUUUUUGACUUGAAUUAAGUCGUUUUACGGGUGCUUUGGACUGUUUUGUGUAUUUGACUAUCUCAACACUCAUUCUUCUUCUUGGCGAGCGUGUUUUGUUUGUUAAGUACUGUUUUUUUUUUUCUCAACUCAUAUUCCUUUGUUAUUCUUCUGCCUUGGGUACCUGUCCCUGCUUGCAGCCUAGAAAACAUGGCGGUCAUGGACCAUGUCAAAAGUUCUGGGGACAAUGAACUAUGGAGAGUGCUGGAUGGGAGAUGGGAGGAGGGGGAGGAGAGGGGUAAGGGGGAGCAAGGGGGGGUGGGAGUCUUGACUUUGUUGUAGGAUUCCGGGAUUUGGGAGUGGUAAAAAUAUAUUGGUCACUGUCAGUUGUCUUAAUAUUUAGCUGAGACGUUACUUUUUAAUUGUCACUUUCUGAGUUUUUCAAAUAUUAUAUUUUUACUAAUUGCCAAUUAGUAAAUAUUAUUUUGGAAAAUGAUAUAUCUUCCCAUCGAGAUUCUCCAACUAAAUAGCGAUAAAGGGCCCUGUUUGGCGUGUAGGAUAAGGGGGGCGGAUAAUCUUUUCUCCUGAAUAACUUUUUUUAUCCGGUGUUUGGAUAGUAAAAAUUUGUCCGGAUAACUUUUUCUCCCGGAUAACUUUUCUCUCAGCGGGAGGAUAGAGGAGGAUAAGUAUGGGGUGGUCUUCAAGCUAGUUAAAAGUUAUUCGGGAGGAUAAGGUGGAGAUAAGGAAGAAAAUAUAUAUAAGUAAACAAAUGUAAAUAUUUAGAUAAUUAAAAUAUAUAUAUAUAUAUAUAUUUAUAUAUAGAUAUAUAUAAUAUUGAUAUAUUUUAACAUUGUGUUUUUCUUCUACAUAUUUUUUUUUUAUCCCCACUCGUUAUCAACCCUUAUCAAAGUAUCCAAUAAGGUUUAAAAGUUAUCCCCCUUUAAAAUUUAUUCCCUUCUAAAACUUAUUCCCUGUUGUUAUCCCGGCAGCCCCAAUUAUGGCAUAAUAUCGGUUUCUUCUUGAUCGGCAAGAGUCAACUGUUUGUGUUUCGAAAUAUUUGUGGUGGAAACCAGAGGGCCUUUUCUGUCAUCACUUUCACGGUUUGUGUAUUGAUAUAGAUUAGAGUUGACUAAUAACAUGCCAACUUUGUAAUAAAGUUUGAACAAUACGACUCUCGACAACAGAUAUUUUAGCUCUCACAUAGAUGAAAAACGUAGCGAAAUAUUAUAAUUGGUGUGAAUUGCAGAAUCUCAUGAACCAUCGAAUUUUUGAACACAAGUUGCGCGUGGAGCCAUUAGCCCAAUUGGGCGGAUAUUGGCCUCUCAGGCGCAUUAGUGAAAUCAAAUUAUGCUGGGAACGUCAUCUACCUCAUGCUUGAUUUUUCUAUGGACCAUUCUUUAGAGUAUUUAAGUAUCAGGGAUCGGUUUUUCGUAUAUCCUUUAGUUUUGGAUGGUUAUAAACCUUAUACUUUAACUACAUGGAUAUACUAAAUCAUAAGAGCUAGUUGAGAUGGUGAUGGUUAUUCCAUCUGUCAGGCAAAUGCGGCUUCUGGGUGGCUGUCACGACGACUGCAAAUUAAGGUUUUUGGAGCUGAAGGCAAAAAGAACUGAACGUUCAUAGUUAUAAGAUAGAGGAGAAACAGGAAAACAAGUUAUGGUGGAGAAGGUAGGGAGGCCAACCCAAAGCUAUGAAGACUUCAAUGCCUGUCUUCCUGCUGAUGGUGUCGCUAUUGCUGUCUCGACUUUGACUUCAUGACCGAGGAGAAGUCCAGAAAAAGCAGGAUUUCUUCAUUGCGUGGUAUGGUCCGUUCUGGCAUCUUUUAUUGAAUAUUCAUUAUUAUCUUAUUAAUAUGAUCCUCUUUAUUUUUGGUUUUUGAAGGUCACCUGAUACAUCAGGGUCAGAAGCAAGAUGAUUUAUUAGCUCCGAAGGACAGGUUCAAGAAGAGCUAGAUGGGCUCAGGUGGAGUUGCAGCUACCGGGGAUCCAACUGAGAUCGGUCUUGAUGUUAUUAAAAGCACGUGCAAGCUGGUACGAAUUAAAGACCUUGCAAACUGAGAGCUUCUCGAUGCGGUCUUCUUUGAUUGAAAUGUUCUAUAGUUUAAUGGGGAUGGUGACUUGGCUAGAUACGGUAUUGGUCAUCCAAGUACUACCAUACCAUAUGUUUGAACAACAUUUGUGGUUUCUGGGAUAUUAUGUUGGUUUGUAUUCGUAAGACCUAAUAUUGUUCAUAGAGAGAUUGUCUACAAGCUAAUAUGUGACGGAGUGUGGGGGGGUAGAAAAUCACUUAGUUUGGUUUUCCAAAUUUUAAAAGGAUAAUUGACCCUGUUGUUUCCUAUCGGGAGUGGUGAUAUCGCAUGCCUUUGGUUCUUUCUGGGUGCUGGUUAAUUGUUUGUUGAACGAAAAAAUUGGAUAAACGCUGUUGGUAAAAUCUUUAUGUUCUCCUCUUCUCACGUUGCUCUUAUAUCAAUCUUUUUAAUUCCAGAUGGAAGUUAUGUUUAGGUUCCAUGUGGAUAGAAUGUUGAGCCAUUUCUUCUGUACAAUCUUGUAUCUAUCUGAAUUUUAACUAGUAUUUAGCUGUUAGUUGUUUGUGCAGAGGUUGUGAUUAAUGCCUCUUAUUGAAUUGGAAUGAGGACACACAAAUUGCUCUUGGACAUUUUCACUUACUAUUCAUCAUUGCUGUGCGUAGCCUAGCUUGGGCUCCUUAUCAUUUGUGUGCGUUGUUGGGGUUGGCAGUUUGCGAUUUCAUAAUAAUCUCCUUCAGCGAUGCAUGUCAAGAUCAAGGAGUUUGUCCUAAUGUUGAGAAAAUCCAAAACGAGUACAAUUAGUUGAAUUCGCAAAACAUGUCAAAACAAAGUGUCUGCCGCCCAAGAGUGUGUGGAGGAAAAAACCAAGUUAGAUCCACCACAAGACUGCGCCCCAGGGUUGGGAUGGGCAGAACCAACAGGGGGCUGUGCUGCCGACUCCCGAGGGUUGUGCAGUGGGCUUUGAACAGAUUGAGCCACAAAUUAUCAGUUUUAAACAGCACUAAGGGUUCCACAAAAAUCCUCCAACCCAUAUUCAGUAAACAUUCCCCAUCUUAACUUCAAUCCUUUUGAAACAGAUUGAGCCAAAUUAUCCAGUUUUAAAGGCACUAAAGGGUUCCCACAAACUCUCCAACCCCUUUUUUAUCAGUAAAACAUUCCCCAUCUUAACUUCAAUUCUUUUGAAAGACUGAGCCAAAUAUCAGAUUUAAACAGGCAAAAAGGGUGCGGUUUCCACAAACUCCUCCAACCAUAUUCAGUAAAAUCAUCCCAUCUUAACUUCAAUCCUGUUUGGAGUUUGAGAAAACACUGUACCAAAACACUAAGCCUACAAGGAAAAGCAAUAAAAACGAUAAUCAAUAAACAAAAUACUCUAAGAAGUAAUUAUCAAAUACUUGGGGUUUUUAGUUGCCCAAAUACUUGGUGCCCAUAGAACUUUCAACCAAGUGAUCAACAACUAUUCGACUAGGGUUCCAUCAAUAAGCUAUUACCUAUGAUCACAAGCAAUAGAAGCAAUUAAAUUAUGAACACAAGAUUAGUGAAAAUCCAAAGUAAGGGAAAAAUCACGAGAUCGAUUGGCAGGGAAAAUGCCACUAAAAACACAAUAGUAGUGGAUAUAAUAAAAUCUCACAACCCUACAGUGAAUCACCCACGAAUGUAGAAUCUUCUUUGCCGACUCAUGAACCACUUCGUGGUCAAUUUCUCUUCUCUAAAUUAUAUCAAAUAAUUGAAUCUUCAUCUCUUACUUUCGACUCACCUCUAAAAAUUUAAAGUGUUUGAUAAGUUGAAUGAUUAAUUACCACUUUUGAGGGAUGAAAUUGAAUUUUUAGGAUCAGGUUUACCUUCUCCAUAUAUUUUCAAUUAAAAGACUUUUUAUCUAAGAUUGAUAUAUCUACAGAGCCUAAUUAAAUUGAAGCGUUCUUUCUAUUUAUGAUGCCAAAUUAGAUGUCAAGGAAAUUCUGAACCCAACACAGGCCGCUCUAGGCGAGCGAGCGGGCAAAGAACUUAUGUUGCUCACCAGUUUGCUAAGUGAACUCCCAAAACUACACUGAAUCCCCUCCAACUAUGUUCUAUUUACACAUUGCCCAAAACAAUCUGAGAUUAAUUGCCACCACAAGUAGAAUUAUUUUUUGGUUUUACAGUAAUUUUUAUAAUUUUUUUUUUUUACUUUCUCGGCUUGUGAAAAGUAAUUUCUUGCACACAAAUUAAAUACACUCAAAUCAAUUUAAUCAAAUGGGUUUUUCAUAAUAAUCCUGAAAAGUUUGUUUGGAUUAAUUCUGGAUUUACUCACUUUUCAUAUUUUUUUGGAUAAAUUUCACUGACCUCUCUUGAGAAUUCUGACAAAUACAAUCACUUUUUAUGUUAUUUCAAAAAUAACAUUGACUUUCCUUUUAAAACUAAUGUCAAGAUUCCCUAGAGUUAUUUUGUGAAAAAAUGACAAACUUGACAUUUAAUUUAGAACUUCUUAAAAUAUUUCACAAUACAUCUAUUUAAAAAUAUUAUUUUAAUGUGUGUAUUGAGAAUAUUUUUUAAAAGUCCUAAAUUAAAUGGUAAAUUUAUUAUUUUUGCACAAAAAAUAGCUCAAGGAGAAUCUUAAGAUUAAUUCAAAAGUUCAGAAGGUCAAUGAUAUUUUUAAAACUACGUAGGAGACAGUUGUAUUGUGAGAAAUCUCACGAGAGAUCAGUGAAAUUUACCCUAAAUUUUUUAACGGAAAAAUAAAAUAUUUUGAAUAAAAAGACAAAAAAUUUCACUAAAAACAAAAAUAAUCUCGAUCUUGGAUGCAAUUUAUCGGAGUUACAUAGGAAGUAUGGGUCCCCUGCGUGAGAAGGCAUGAGCAUAGAUUUUGUGAUGGAGGACGACCCAUUUCAACAGCUUCAGCAACUGAUCCCUUGCUGUGAACAAAAGCCAUACGACACAGAGAAGUGGCCCAAUCGAGUCGGGCAAGUGAAUUGUGGAUGCCAUUGAUGCAGCAGAAAGUGAACCGAAGAACACCGUCCCGUGGCGAACAAUCCAGGCAUUAUCUGACAGAUUAAGCCAAUUUAUACAUGUUGUCAAAAAGGUGUUGAGGAUUCUAAAUCUGAAUAGUCCAAACCCCUGUAAAGUUGAACAAUAGAGUUACUGAUUAUUUUAAAUAGUCCAUGGGAAAUGAGAGUAUGGAAUGCUGUCCAUAUGAUUUGGACCUAUUGAUAGUCUAAUAACAUAAUUAAAAAUAUUUUUGUUUAGGGUACCGUUUUACUUGAGAUCGUGUAGAUGUCCAUAAAAAGCCUUAAUAAAAAGCCACAAAAAUACAUAAUAAACUACACGAUAGAAAAAUUGUAACCAAAUCGCAAAAUACAUUAACUCUACUUUUUUUUGUAUGGUAUACGAUACAGCCAUUGAUAUCUAUACCAUAACAAUACAUUUAAUUAUAUAGUACACAUUACACACAAUAGUACCAUAGCUUUCUCCCGGAGAUUUGCUAAUAUGGAAUCCCAUAAGAUGUAACAUAUAUAUAAAGCUUACUAUUUUUGACUCACAAAAAGGAAUAUUCAUUCUUGACCAGACUCUAGAGAGAUCAAAAGGCCACUUUCAGUUUAUGUUCCAAUUUUGGGAAGCACCAAAGUGUGUCCAACACUCCUCCUUUUCAUUUUAUAAUGGAGCAAUCCCGCAGGUUUGACUGCGACAACUUACAAAACCCAAUUAACAACACUAAAAACAAUACAUAGACCCCACCGAAAACGAACCCAACAGCACCAUCCCGCUGGAAGGAAUCCACGCAAAAGUCGGGCCCAAAGAAAAUCUCUGUUCUGCAUAGUAGGCCAAGCAAUACAGAAUCAAACGAACAACACAAGCGCCCAUGGAUUUGGGGUGAGUUUCAAAGGGGGUUGUGUACCCCACUUGAUACUUGAGUUGGACGAGGCUAACGAGUAAGUUUUAAAUCCCGAAUAUACACUGAUACAGAGGUGCAGUGUAUAUUCGGGAUUUAAUCACCUUUUAUAAUUUUUUUGAUAAAUUUUACUGACCUAGUGACCUCUCUUAAGAAUUCUGAUAAAUACAUGCACCUCUCUCGUGUGGUUUCACAAAUAUCAUUGAUUUUUCUUUAAAACUAAUGUUAAGAUUCCCAGAGAUCUAAUUUUUGUGCAAAAAUAACAAACUUACCUUUUGAUUCAGAACUUUCAAAAAAAAAUUCUCAAUACACCUAUUAAAAUAAUGUAUUUUAUGGGUGUAUUGAUAAUUUUUUUUGGAAGUCAUAAAUCAAGUUUGUCAUUUUUGAAGGAAAAAAAAAACAGUUUCUGAGAAAAUCUUAACAUUAAUUUUAAAAGUAAAGAAGGUCAAUGAUAUUUUUAAAACUACAUAGGAGAUAGUUGUAUUUGUUAAAAACCUUACGAGAGAUCAGUGAAAUUUAUCCUAAAUUUUUUAAUGGAAAAAUAAAAGAUUUCAAAUAAAAAAGACAAAAAAAAUCACUAAAAACAAAAAUAAUCUCGACCUUGGAUGCAAUUUAUCCGAGUUACACAGGAAGUAUGGGUCCCCUGCAUGAGAAGGCAUGAGCAGAGAUUUUGUGAUAGAGGACGACCCAUUUCAACAGCUUCAGCAACUGAUCCCUUGCUGUGAACAAAAGCCGUACGAUACAGAGAAAUGGCCCAAUCGAGUCGGACAAGUGAAUUGUGGAUGCCAUUGAUGCAGCAGAAAGUGAACCGAAAAACACCGUCCCACGGCGAACAAUCCAGGCAUUAUCUGACGGAUUAAUCCGUCUCUGCUCUGCAUUGUAGGCCAAACAAUACAAAAUCAGACAAACAAAGGAGACUCCCAUGGAUAUGGGGUGCGUUUCGAAAGGGGACGUGUACGUACACGUCCCGUGAUACUUGAGUUGGAGAAGGCUGAUUAAGAUCGGAACGAGGAAGGCCACAACGGAUUGGAAAGAAGCGAAUGUAGACUGCGCUUGUGAGUCAUAGAUCAUCAUGAUGAUCGAUGAAACGUUGAUCUGUGCAAAGAAUUCUCUGAAUGUGAUGCAUAAGGGAGGCAUGCUUCUAUUCUUAGCACUGAAAUCGAUUUGAUUUUUGGAAACAUAUAUCUGAAGAAUAUGUGGUGAGUAUAUAUAUAUAUAUAAUAUAAGCUAAGUAGGAUAUAUAAUAAAAUGGGACAGACCGUUCACCUAUUUUACAAUCAUGCCAUUGGGAGUGGGGGAUCGGUUUUGCGAGCCGCCUAUGCGGACCUAGUUUUUUGCUUUCUCUAGUUAUUUUUGAAGGCGUAAUUUCUUAGAUACCUCCCAAAUUGUUUUUUAAAAUUAUACUAACUUUUCUUUUUUUUUAAAAUUAUUAUAAAAAAAAAUUUGUAAGAUUAAUUUUUAUACAAAAAUAACAACAUUGCCCUUAUUUCAUUAGGAAUUAGUCAGUUAUUUUUAAUGGUUGAAAUCCGGAUUUAACGCAAUAUCUAAGAUUCUUAUUCUCUCAAAGACCUUUCAUGACGAUUUUGUAAUAAUGUUAUGAAAAUAAAUAAAUAUUGAGGGUUAUGUUUAAGGUUUCUAAAUUUUUUAAUACAAUCAAAUUAAAAAUAAAAAAUAAUAAUAAUAAAAUUAAUUUUGAAAAUAUAUUUAGAUUAAGGGAAUUUAAAAAGUAAAAUGUUUGAAUCAAUUUUAAAAUAAAAAGUCUUAUUGAGAAUAAAGGUUUAGUUUUUAAGUACGUUUUAAUUAGAAGUACUUAAAAAUUAAAUUAUUUAUAUUAAUUAUAUUUUUAAAAAAUUACUUAUUGAUAAAAGAUAAAAAUAGAAUAGUUUCAAAAUAAAUUGUAUUUUAAGAAAAAAAGAAUUUUUAUUUUAUUUUAAUUGGUCUAUUGAGAAAAAAAAUUAACAGCCCUAAACAUAAGGGUAAUUUUAAUAUUUUUACACAAAAAUAAGCUCUACGGAGAAAUCUUGACAAUAGUUGCGAAAAUAAGAUAGGUUAAUGCAAUUUUAAAAUCUAUAGAAGAAAUGACUGUAUUUGUCAGAAAGCUCAGGAGGUCAAUGAACUUUAUCAUUAUAUUUCUUUUUAAUAGAUGAAUCUUGAAAGUUUCAUAAAAAUGAAUCACAUUUGGAAAAAGUCCCUAGAGAAAAUGGAAGUAUGUUUUUAUUUUUUUAAAUAUGAUCUUCUUUUUUACUUUUUUAGUUUCCGUUUUGUUUAGUUUUAUUUCAUAUUUUCUAUUUUCAUUUUCAAAAAACACAAACAACUUAUUUGGGUAAUAUUAGUCUCUAAAAUUUGUUUUCAAUAUACAUAUAUUUUUUUAAAAAAAUAACUCACUUUAUACUUUAGAAGAUAUCAAAAAGAUGUUUCAGGUUAUCAAAAAUAAUUUACACUAACAAAUGAGUCAAAUAUCAACAUUAUAAUGUUCUUGUUUUCAAAUACAGUUUUAGAAAAAGUCUAAAAAUUUAAAUUUGAAAAGUGCAAUCAAACAGCGAUAAAAAACAAAGGAAAUUUAUUUCUACACUCUAUUUUUUGAUUCCUACACUCCAAAAUAAGAGUGUAAAAAUCAACACCAUAAUAAUAUUGAUUUCUACACUUCUAUUUUGGAGUGUAGGAAUCAUUUUUUGGAGUGUAGAAAUCAUUUCCCAAAACAAAAGGUUGAAAAAAUUUGUAUAAUCUCUCUGAAUUCAAUCACAAACAUUGUUCUUAAUACAAAUUAGGGUAAAUUGGAAACACAUAUAUGAAGAAGAUAUAUAUAUAUAUACACCCAUGUGCAACCUAUCUUUGUUCCCAAAAACUAUCAAGUGGGCCCUUCAUCAAUGCUGAUUGUGGUUACGUCAAUCUAUCUUGGUUCCCAAAAGUAUCAAGAGGGCCCUUCAUCCAGAACAUGCCAAAGGCAAACCUCAGGCUAUCAUGUCCUCUUUUUUUUUAUACAUUUUUAAUUGGUGCUUUCAUUCCUCCUAGACCUUUUUAAUCUCUCUGUAUUCAAUCACAAACAUUGUUCUUAAUACAAAUUAGGGUAAAUUGGAUACACAUAUAUGAAAAAGAUAUACAUAUAUAUAUAUAUAUAUAUAUACCCAAGUGCUGAUUGUGGUUACUUUUCAACCUAUCCAUAUGAACAAAAGUAUCAAGUGGGCCCUUCAUCAAUGCUGAUUGUGGUUACUUCAACCUAUCUUUGUUCCCAAAAAUAUCAAGUGGGCCCUUCAUAAAAAAAAUUUUGGCACACAAAAAGGAUUAUUGACUCUUGAAGAGAUUCCACAGUUCUUUUUUGGUAGGACCAAUAUUUAAAUGGUCCAAACCAUUUUAAUAUUUGAUAAAACAUUUGCAUACUUGUGCAUGCUCUUACCAAAUUUUAAUUGGUGGCCUUCACUUAAAAUUAUUUCAAUUAACUCCAUACACUUUUAGGUCACAUGUCAAUGCAGCUUUUGCAUCUAUUCGUUGGUUCAAUUUAUAACGGAAAGAUACCAUAUAGUCAUGUUACCCUUAAUUGAAAUGACAUAUAUUGCAGUAAUAUUUUUAUGUGAACAAUCAAAAACAGUUGGUGUGGCUUAAUAUGGGUUUCUUCUAUGGAUGACAAGAGUCAACUGUUCGUGUUUUGAAUAUAUUUGUGGUGGCCAUGGAACCAGAGGGCCUUUUCUUUCAUCACCUUCACGGUUUGUGUAUUGAAGUGUAUCAUUUCACAAGGUUUCUUUACCUUUAAUACUUGGUAUAAUAUCUUGUGUUUUAAUCUUGAUUGUAUCUGAUUGAUACUAAAUGGGUCAGGUUUCUUCUACGAGGGUUCGCUGGUUCUCAAGGUGGACUUGCUGUUCAACCGUAGUUAGUGACGGCCUAUUGUAAUCUGCCACGUGGAUAUAUUAAAGGAUUACUUUGUUAUUUAACUGCAAAAAAUAAUAUUUCAUAUACAGCCAAUCAUGGACUAAUUAAAAUAAUCGAUAACUCUAUUGUUCACUAUUCAAGAUUUAGAAUCCUCAACACCUUUCUGACUAUAAAUUGGCUAACUUUCUAAAACCUCUAAACCCUUUGAGCCCUCCCCCAAUGGAAUGUCGUCAAAAUAUAUCAUUUUGAAACUCGAACCCUGUAAACCUUCCAAAUCUCGCACGUUGUUACAAAGUCACUAGAAAAUUGACAACUUGGCAAAAUCUCCUAUAAAUGAAGCUAUUUGGAUGCACACAUGGGAAAUUAAAUC
rnacentral:lncRNA from 1 species